rnacentral:rRNA from 1 species
AGCUACUGUCAAACCACCCUGAAUCCUACCAAUUCCAUCUACCCCUGGAAGGUAAGCAGAGCUGGGUCUGGUGAGUACUUGCAUGGAGGAUACCAUCAUAGGCAUGACAGGACAGCAUAAGAGAAAGCACAGUGACAC